GCCAAGAAUAGAUGGCUAACGACUCACCCGACAAAAAGGAAACCUAUAUAGUUCCAGCCAUUUAGUUACACCACCUCUACAACAAUCACAUUCAUUACAACUUGGCCACGAAAGCAAGAAACAAUCAACUAGCGAGGAAAAAAUUCUUUAUCUACAGCUUGCUUGCCAUUUCAUUUCAACACUAGCUAGUUCUACAACACUGGCACUGAGAACCAGAUCUUAAGCUUGUACAAAUCUUCAGCUUGCCAUUUACCAAAUUCGCACGGCAACAAUACCGGUCUCCAACAGUUCACCAACACCACCAGCCAAGAAAUAAAGCACAAACAACCACGCCAAGUAGACAACAAUAUCACUAGCCAGGCAUAUCAACAAACGGAGCACAAGUUGCCAUUUCCUCUAGUGCUUCCAAGUCUCCACUUAUGGGGGCCACGACACCGUCUUCGUCAAUCUCCAUGGCACCUACACCAAACAAUCGGCCAAGCUCUCAGCAGAGGAAGUCACCAAAUUAAGUAAAAACCUCAAUCUGGGUUAGGGUAGAUAAAUAGAUAGAAGUAAUAAAGGAAAAUACACACGCAACAGUUAAAAAGACACCAAGGUGUGGGUGUGGUAUCCUUGAUUAACAGCAAAAGAAAAAGCAUGAUAAUCUUUCUGCAAACAAGAAUGAGAUUCUAACAGCUCUUGACAUCAAAUGAGCUUUUAUAUUAGUGCCAUUUCUGAGCUUUCUAUAUGAAAGCCUUUUCUAGCUAUCAAGCUAUCAGUAAAAUAACAGUAGCUUCAGAACUAUGCAAAAACACUGACUGACCACGCAUGCAUCCGAAACUGACAAGUGAGCUAUGCAAACAAAAUCAGAUUGAAAAAAACUAAAAACAAAUUGAUCAUGUUCCGUCAGCAAAGACCGCUGCCAAAACUGAAUCUGUUCGUCUUCCCGCUCUAGAGCUUCUCUAAACAAGUAGUCUGCAGGUACAAAUGAAUGGAAGAGAGAAGGAAGAAAGGCUAGUCCUCUCUCAAUUGGUUCAUGAUGCAUACGACAAAACCAAGAUAUGUGCCGUGAGAUCAAGAACCCUCCACAAACGUCAUAAUGAACAUGCCCCAACAACCCUUCCUGGGACGAAUGAGAACUAUGCUCCUAAAGUAACAUGCAAGUGAUUUACUUGAUAAGUACACGUUAGAUUACCUAGCUAGAACGGAUCCAGAGGAACACCGAUUCAUUUAACUAGCUACCAACAAGCAUUACCGAGCCCAAUUGGGGCCAUCAAGAGACCAAACAGAAAAGCUAAGUAGUCAUUGCACACAGAGGCCAUGACCCAGAGCUAUACCAUGGCUCGAUGACCAUGUGCACAAAGCAAGGGCAAGAGCAGAGAAUGCCUUUAAAAUGUUUGUAGUCGAGGCAGAACCACGCCAUCAGGAUCAUUACCCUCUUGCUUAAGUAGUGUGUUUGUUCUUUCUACCACGUGGCUAUCCGUAACAGAGCCCUCUUGAAAACUUGAGGAGAAAAAAAUUGUGAUUUUAGUAAGGGGAGGUACAAAACUAAAAUAUAGAGAUGUGUGAAGAAAAAAAUCGACUACAAUAUUAUAGUCAAGUAAACAUGCCAAGGUAGGUAAGAUAGGACAAAGAACUUGUAGCCUUCUAGUAAUAUAGCUUCCACGUUCCAAAUGAGAAGAUGAUCGAUAUAAUGAACACCAUUUAGGUGCAAAUAGGCAAAGAAUAUCUGCUAUGAGAUGCAGUUUGAUGCCAGUAGUAGAUAAAGGAUGCCAAAAGGCACUAAUCAUGAUAAAGAUCAUGUUAGAGUAACAUUUGAUCUCAAGUAGUUGUAUUAUUUAACAGGAUGCAAAACACAAAUUGCAACCCUACAAUACAUAGCAGCAAUGCACAAUGUGCAAGAAUUUUGCCUUGUAGCAACAGCAGCAUAAAGUUAACUAUACAUACAUGACUCUGAUCAAUGGUCGCCCUUGUGCUUUUCUAUAUAUGGCCGACAAGCUAGUAGAGUGGGAGUUAUUUGGUUGUAUGAUCCUGAAGAAACAAAGGCGUGAUGAUCAUCUUCCUCUGCUUCAGUUAGCCAACCGAGGGAAUCAGGGAGGAUAAAUGUACGGCUUAAAACUAGACUCUGGCUGGGCAAACCCAGUUACAGAUGUGUGCAAGCUGCUGGAGCCGGAGCGCAGCUAUUAAAUUGGACAUGCAUGCAUUCAGUAAGUGAGUCGCCUCUGUUAGAAGAACUGCAACCUUGUAGCGAAAUUAUGAGCUGGUAUAUAUUAACCUGGUUGUUCAACUUGUAAACUGAAGAGGAACACAUACGAGCUUGACCAUGAUAGAGAUAGUCAAAAAAAUUAUAACAGCAAAGCCAAAACUACUAUAACAGAAGAUGCAAUAGCAAAGAAGAAGCAUGAAGUGCAACAGAGCAUUUCGCUGGGAAGUUGUGAUCUAACGAGCAGUGCUCCUAACUCUUCCGAAAAUCAGGUUCUACUGCUAGCAGGUUAAUGAAUGUGCUAUAAUUUCAUCAUCAUCCACAACAUAUCUUAGAAACGGGAAACCAGUGUAAACUAGCUAGAAUUUUUGUAUUGAGAAGAUCACGAGGUAAUCAAAAUCAAAGACCUAUGUAACUGAACAGUUCAAUACACAUGAUGCAAUGGAUACAUGAAGAAUUAUGAACUGCAACAGACCUUCAUUGGCAAAUUGACAAAUCAAGUCCAAACUGAUGCAACCAUUUGAUUUAAUAGGCAGUGCUCCACGCUCUUCCACAAAUCAAGUCCAACUUGAUAGUAAACAAAGAUGACUAAAUAUUAAGAAUCAAGAAAACCACUAGAUGUUCUUUAAGAAAAAAGAAGAUUUCGCUAAAAGAAAGGCAGAACAGAGACACAAGGAAUAUCAGCAGAAGGAUCAAAUGGGACAAUGGGCGGAGAGCGUUUUGAUCAAGUGAACUCGGAAUAUAGUUGGUGAAACAACAGAAUGGUUGUCAAGGAAAGAAGAUGCCAGUUGUGACAAACAAGAAAGAUGUAUAUACAAAGAAAACACUCCAUUGCAAAUUAGCGAUUACAACCAAGAAAAGUUAUGAAACCAGAAAAGCAGAUUGAACAAGAACGAAUGGUUUAUAGGUGCUCAGAAUCAACAGGUGUAUAGGAGUCGUUCAUGAGGAUAUCCCGUCAGUAUGAGGUAUGUUUUGUAACCAUUGCACAAUUGCAACCACCAGCAACAAGAAUAAAUCAUUUACCAAAUCACACGAGCUUAAAAAUAUUGAACUAGGAACAUGAGUUUCAAGUCUUGGGGCUGGAUAACACAACUCAAGUCAAUUAAAUAUGAGCUCCAAUGAUGACAUAUAAGAAGUUUCAAUGGAUCCAGGUAAGCAUUUGGUUCAAAUACAAAACAAACUUUACAGGAAAUAAACACAAAAAACAAUCAUCCAAUGAAGCCAGAAAAAGAAUGGUUUGUUGGUGCUCAGAUUCUAUGGGUGUAUAGGAGUCAUUCACAGGGUUCUCCUGUCAGUAUGAGGAAUGUUUUAUAAGCACUGCACCACAAAUGGUUCAACUCGCUAAAUCAAAAAUACCAGAAGAAUACUAGAUAGGAAAAACAUUAAAAAAUGUAAAAGAGCAGAGAUUAAACUGCAAUCUCGGAGCAGAGAUCCAUCUAGACAUAUUUUUGCUCCAAGCACCACCUGAGUUCUGAAAGUGACGCACACUGUUAAUAUGUUAUUAUCAGUAUUGUUUCAUCCUCACUGCGCUCAAACGCCACAAAUGAAGAAACAAGAACACAACAUAAGGGAAUAUUAUCGAGGAUGCAUCAGAUAUCCAACGUUAAAAGGGUGUGACAUCACAGAGACACCUCAGACGCAAAUUACACAUAAAACUUGUGUCUUCUCACCUGCAUCAAUAUUGCUCUUCCAAGAAACAGCAACAAGAACAAGGAAAGACUAAAUUCAAGAGAAACAAAGAAUGACAGAUAGGAAAAGAAUGACAGGACUUGCAGCACAGCCCAUGGCUAUCCAUUCCUGCAUCCACAUCCACAAACCCAACAGAUAAUUCAUUUUACUUGAGACUAAGCUCGGUUCUAAUUUCAAAGCUAAUAGCUUUGUGGUUUAAUUUUAAACUGAACUAAAUUAACUUCUCAGGAACUAACUAGGGACUAUGAUCAGGUUUGGUUUAGAUUUCAGGCUAUCGACCAUGCAAAUAAAACCAAUAGGGAAAUUAAUUACUCAAAAUAACCAUAUCUUGAACACAUGAAAUUACUGUACCAAGAACUAAGCUAGAAAACAAAGCCAAGAAGAAAACAACUUUUUUUUGUGGAAACGAGAGGAUGAUCAGAUUUGGUUCAGUAUUGAGGCCAUCAUAUCAGCCAAUCAAACCAAUAGGAAAAUUAACCUCAUCUCUCGUCUUUUCCUUUUUCGUAGUAGUCCGAGUUCAAGCUACUGUAGCAAUAUUUACUGUCCAUCUUUUUCAGCUCUGCUCCAGAAAAGAGAAAGGAUAAACCAAAUUUUUUUUAACACAACAGUGAGGGCGGCUGCAUCAGAUUUCCAAGGUUAGAAAGAAUGUGACAUCACAGAAAUGCCUCAGAUGGAAAUUACCAAUAAUCUAGGGUCUCGUCAUCUGCAUCCACUAUGCCCAUUUCAAUUAGAAAACAAAGUUUCUAUUUGAAUUGAUCUAACAUUGCUUGUUUGUUCUUAAACUGUACUAAAAUGAUCUUUGGUAGAAUUCUACAACAAACACCACAAUAUCUUUGAAACAGGGAAAAAAGGGCAGCCCGGUGCAUGUAGCUCCUGCUUGCGCAGGGUCUGGGGAAUGGUCCGACCACUUUGGGUCUAUAGUACGUAGCAUUUCCCUACAUUUCUGUAAGAGGUUGUUUUCGGGACUUGAACCCAUGACCUCAUGGUCGAUAAUCAGAUUAUGUUCAGUAUUUAGGCAAUCAAGUUGAUCAAUCAAACCAAUAGGAAAAUUAAUCAUCCGUCAUCUUAUCUCUGUCUAUUUAACUAGCAAAUAGAUCUAUUGAAUAAAUGAAUGUACCAUAUAAAUAGCAAAUCUAAUGAACAUGAUGAGGUGACCAAAAAUAGGUCGGCUUUUUUUGAUGAUCAUAUUUGGUUCAGUAUUUGGGCCAUCAUAUCGGCCAAUCGAAACAAUAGGAAAUUUAAUCUCAUUCAUCAUCUCAUCUCUCGCCAAUUAAAACCCAAAACAAAGGAUUUUUUUAACAAAAUUAGUAAGAACACGAAAGACAUGACUGAGGUGGAUGCAUCAGAUCUCCAAGGUGAAAAAGAGUGACAUCACAUAAAUGCCUCAGAUGCAAAUUAACCAUAAACUUGAGUCUUCUCAUCUGCAUCGACAACGCUCCUUUCAACAACAAAAAAGAAACUUACAAACACAUUAAAAGGAGAGACACUAGAUAAACCGGCGAAGUAUUCUUUCUACAAGAAAGCAAGAGAAACAGUAUGGGAUUUUAUCAGAUGGAACCAAUGCAUGAUUCAUUGGAAAUCAUAUCAUCCAUCAACAAUGCAAAUAUCCUCAUCUCACCCAAACGAAUCAAAAAUAGCAAGAAAAAACAAACAACGUGGAUAUUAUCAAGGAUGCAACAGAUCUCCAAGGUGAAAAUGGUCUGGCAUCACAGAGAAGCCUCAGACGCAAAUUACCCAUAAAAAUUAUGUCUCCUCAUCUACAUCAACAAUGCUCCUUGAAGAAACAACAUCAAGAACAAGAAUAAAAUAUAAAUUUCAGAUGCCAAGAUCCCAAAUAAAUAUCAAACCCUAACAAAUACCAUAUACAGUAGUAGUACAGGGAUCCUAAGUCGCACGGGCACCCCGCACGCGGAUGGAUGACCAUCUCCCGUAUAUAUAGACAAGAGAAGAGAAGAGAAGAGAUGACGACAUGGUGGGGUGCAGCAGCUGCGUGCGUGCUCAAAUGGCCAAAGACAAGCCCAUGCCCCGGACCCUUGCUCCCUCACUUGGCUGGUCAAUGGCUGUCUCAUGGGCAUCCCUAGGCAACGUUCAUAACCGAACCGGUCUCUUGCAAUUUAUCUCCUCCUUGUAAUCAGCCUCCACGAGCUCACCCAACCCAGCUUUGCCUCGAGACUCGAGAGAGAUAAUGGCUAGUGUUCGUUGUAAGCUGCAUGCAGGAGGCGAACCACCAGGCGGGGCAUUAGUUACAGAAGUUGAACUGAUCGAUCGAGCACCAGAUUAAUUGUACUAUGUUAUGUCACCCAAAGAGAUCCAACCACUGAAGAGAGGGAGGACGUAGUACAGAUGAGAUGGACGCCGCUAAGCAUGGUACGUCACAGCAAUAUAAUAUAAUGGCAUCGAUCGACGAGUGUGCUCGUGUGUGUUGGUUUGCUGCUGACUGGUUGGACAUUUGUGCUGGCCUUUUUGUUUGAUUUUGCUACUGAACAGAUGGCUGUAGUUUGCUUCAUGGAUCGGCCAGGCAGCCACCUGUUUCUUCUUUCAGUUGCAUAAUACAUCAUUUGGUUACUGCUGGCAAUAGCCACCUGUUCUCUUCUUUCUUUUGCAUGUAUAUAAUUUGGUUACUGCUGGCAACAAUUCUGUCGUCAAACUGAAGAAUUUUAUAUAUGCAUUAUGAUGAUGCCCGGGAAAUCUACAUUCACAAUAUGCAUAGCGAGCCGCGACCAAAUUCUUCUCGACUACUCCCUCUGUUCCUAAAUAUAACUCUUUGUAGAUAUUUCACUAUGGAGUGUAGAUUCAUUCAUUUUACUCCGUAUGUGGUCCACGGUGAAAUCCCUCCAAAAACUUAUAUUUAGAAACGGAGCUUUAGAUGCACUCCAUAAAAAGAAAGGUUGAUGAUAAACAAGAACAAAAUCUCUUAUGUUGCAAAAUAAAUCACGCAUGCAUGCCUCCUCCAAACAGACAAUUCAAGCCUUAUUUAGCACACCACUCUCAACCAUCGCAGCCAACAAAGACAACUCCGGUUCAAUUUCGCAGCCAACAAAGCACAAACAGCUUGCUCAUCUCGCCGUUUUAUCUAGCGCCAACAACACAAAGAAAGAUAUUUUGGUGCCAUUUACACCAGUCAACAACCAGCCAAGAAUAGAUGGCUAACGACUCACCCGACAAAAAGGAAACCUAUAUAGUUCCAACCAUUUAGUUACACCACCUCUACAACAAUCACAUUCAUUACAACUUGGCCACGAAAGCAAGAAACAAUCAACUAGCGAGGAAAAAAUUCUUUAUCUACAGCUUGCUUGCCAUUUCAUUUCAACACUAGCUAGUUCUACAACACUGGCACUGAGAACCAGAUCUUAAGCUUGUACAAAUCUUCAGCUUGCCAUUUACCAAAUUCGCAUGGCAACAAUACCGGUCUCCAACAGUUCGCCAACACCACCAGCCAAGAAAUAAAGCACAAACAACCACGCCAAGUAGACAACAAUAUCACUAGCCAGGCAUAUCAACAAACGGAGCACAAGUUGCCAUUUCCUCUAGUGCUUCCAAGUCUCCACUUAUGGGGGCCACGGCACCGUCUUCGUCAAUCUCCAUGGCACCUACACCAAACAAUCGGCCAAGCUCUUAGCAGAGGAAGUCACCAAAUUAAGUAAAAACCUCAAUCUGGGUUAGGGUAGAUAAAUAGAUAGAAGUAAUAAAGGAAAAUACAUACGCAGCAGUUAAAAAGACACCAAGGUGUGGGUGUGGUAUCCUUGAUUAACAGCAAAAGAAAAGGCAUGAUAAUCUUUCUACAAACAAGAAUGAGAUUCUAACAGCUCUUGACAUCAAAUGAGCUUUUAUAUUAGUGCCAUUUCUGAGCUUUCUAUAUGAAAGCCUUUUCUAGCUAUCAAGCUAUCAGUAAAAUAACAGUAGCUUCAGAACUAUGCAAAAACACUGACUGACCACGCAUGCAUCCGAAACUGACAAGUGAGCUAUGCAAACAAAACCAGAUUGAAAAAAACUAAACACAAAUUGAUCAUGUUCCGUCAGCAAAGACCGCUGCCAAAACUGAAUUUGUUCGUCUUCCCGCUCUAGAGCUUCUCUAAACAAGUAGUCUGCAGGUACAAAUGAAUGGAAGAGAGAAGGAAGAAAGGCUAGUCCUCUCUCAAUUGGUUCAUGAUGCAUACGACAAAACCAAGAUAUGUGCCAUGAGAUCAAGAACCCUCCACAAACGUCAUAAUGAACAUGCCCCAACAACCCUUCCUGGGACGAAUGAGAACUAUGCUCCUAAAGUAACAUGCAAGUGAUUUACUUGAUAAGUACACGUCAGAUUACCUAGCUAGAACGGAUCCAGAGGAACACCGAUCCAUUUAACUAGCUACCAACAAGCAUUACCGAGCCCAAUUUGGGCCAUCAAGAGACCAAACAGAAAAGCUAAGUAGUCAUUGCACACAGAGGCCAUGACCCAGAGCUAUACCAUGGCUCGAUGACCAUGUGCACAAAGCAAGGGCAAGAGCAGAGAAUGCCUUUAAAAUGUUUGUAGUCGAGGCAGAACCACGCCAUCAGGAUCAUUACCCUCUUGCUUAAGUAGUGUGUUUGUUCUUUCUACCACGUGGCUAUCCGUAACAGAGCCCUCUUGAAAACUUGAGGAGAAAAAAAUUGUGAUUUUAGUAAGGGGAAGUACAAAACUAAAAUAUAGAGAUGUGUGAAGAAAAAAAUCGACUACAAUAUUAUAGUCAAGUAAACAUGCCAAGGUAGGUUAGAUAGGACAAACAACUUGUAGCCUUCUAGUAAUAUAACUUCCACGUUCCAAAUGAGAAGAUGAUCGAUAUAAUGAACACCAUUUAGGUGCAAAUAGGCAAAGAAUAUCUGCUAUGAGAUGUAGUUUGAUGCCAGUAGUAGAUAAAGGAUGCCAAAAGGCACUAAUCAUGAUAAAGAUCAUGUUAGAGUAACAUUUGAUCUCAAGUAGUUGUAUUAUUUAACAGGAUGCAAAACACAAAUUGCAACCCUACAAUACAUAGCAGCAAUGCACAAUGUGCAAGAAUUUUGCCUUGUAGCAACAGCAGCAUAAAGGUAACUAUACAUACAUGACUCUGAUCAAUGGUCGCCCUUGUGCUUUUCUAUAUAUGGCCGACAAGCUAGUAGAGUGGGAGUUAUUUGGUUGUAUGAUCCUGAAGAAACAAAGGCGUGAUGAUCAUGUUCCUCUGCUUCAGUUAGCCAACCGAGGGAAUCAGGGAGGAUAAAUGUACGGCUUAAAACUAGACUCUGGCUGGGCAAACCCAGUUACAGAUGUGUGCAAGCUGCUGGAGCCGGAGCGCAACUAUUAAAUUGGACAUGCAUGCAUUCAGUAAGUGAGUCGCCUCUGUUAGAAGAACUGCAACCUUGUAGCGAAAUUAUGAGCUGGUAUAUAUUAACCUGGUUGUUCAACUUGUAAACUGAAGAGGAACACAUACGAGCUUGACCAUGAUAGAGAUAGUCGAAAAAAAAUUACAACAGCAAAGCCAAAACUAUUAUAACAGAAGAUGCAACAGCAAAGAAGAAGCAUGAAGUGCAACAGAGCAUUUCGCUGGGAAGUUGUGAUCUAACGAGCAGUGCUCCUAACUCUUCCGAAAAUCAGGUUCUACUGCUAGCAGGUUAAUGAAUGUGCUAUAAUUUCAUCAUCAUCCACAACAUAUCUUAGAAACGGGAAACCAGUGUAAACUAGCUAGAAUUUUUGUAUUGAGAAGAUCACGAGGUAAUCAAAAUCAAAAACCUAUGUAACUGAACAGUUCAAUACACAUGAUGCAAUGGAUACAUGAAGAAUUAUGAACUGCAACAGACCUUCAUUGGCAAAUUGACAAAUCAAGUCCAAACUGAUGCAACCAUUUGAUUUAAUAGGCAGUGCUCCACGCUCUUCCACAAAUCAAGUCCAACUUGAUAGUAAACAAAGAGGACUAAAUAUUAAGAAUCAAGAAAACCACCAGAUGUUCUUUAAGAAACUAAGAAGAUUUUGCUAAAAGAAAGGCAGAACAGAGACACAAGGAAUAUCAGCAGAAGGAUCAAAUGGUACAAUGGGCGGAGAGCGUUUUGAUCAAGUGAACUCGGAAUAUAGUUGGUGAAACAACAGAAUGGUUGUCAAGGAAAGAAGAUGCUAGUUGUGACAAACAAGAAAGAUGUAUAUACAAAGAAAACACUCCAUUGCAAAUUAGCGAUUACAACCAAGAAAAGUUAUGAAACCAGAAAAGCAGAUUGAACAAGAACGAAUGGUUUAUAGGUGCUCAGAAUCAACAGGUGUAUAGGAGUCAUUCAUGAGGAUAUCCCGUCAGUAUGAGGUAUGUUUUGUAACCAUUGCACAAUUGCAACCACCAGCAACAAGAAUAAAUCAUUUACCAAAUCACACGAGCUUAAAAAUAUUGAACUAGGAACACGAGUUUCAAGUCUUGGGGCCGGAUAACACAACUCAAGUCAAUUAAAUAUGAGCUCCAAUGAUGACAUAUAAGAAAUUACAAUGGACCCAGGUAAGCAUUUGGUUCAAACACAAAACAAAAUUUACAGGAAAUAAACACAAAAAACAAUCAUCCAAUGAAGCCAGAAAAAGAUGGUUUGUUGGUGCUCAGAUUCUAUGGGUGUAUAGGAGUCAUUCACAGGGUUCUCCUGUCAGUAUGAGGAAUGUUUUAUAAGCACUGCACCACAAAUGGUUCAACUCGCUAAAUCAAAAAUACCAGAAGAAUACUAGAUAGGAAAAACAUUAAAAAAUGUAAAAGAGCAGAGAUUAAACUGCAAUCUCGGAGCAGAGAUCCAUCUAGACAUAUUUUUGCUCCAAGCACCACCUGAGUUCUGAAAGUGACGCACACUGUUAAUAUGUUAUUAUCAGUAUUGUUUCAUCCUCACUGCGCUCAAACGCCACAAAUGAAGAAACAAGAACACAACAUAAGGGAAUAUUAUCGAGGAUGCAUCAGAUAUCCAACGUUAAAAGGGUGUGACAUCACAGAGACACCUCAGACGCAAAUUACACAUAAAACUUGUGUCUUCUCACCUGCAUCAAUAUUGCUCUUCCAAGAAACAGCAACAAGAACAAGGAAAGACUAAAUUCAAGAGAAACAAAGAAUGACGGAUAGGAAAAGAAUGACAGGACUUGCAGCACAGCCCAUGGCUAUCCAUUCCUGCAUCCACAUCCACAAACCCAACAGAUAAUUCAUUUUACUUGAGACUAAGCUCGGUUCUAAUUUCAAAGCUAAUAGCUUUGUGGUUUAAUUUUAAACUGAACUAAAUUAAUUUCUCAGGAACUAACUAGGGACUAUGAUCAGGUUCGGUUUAGAAUUCAGGCUAUCGACCAUGCAAAUAAAACCAAUAGGGAAAUUAAUUACACAAAAUAACCAUAUCUUGAACACAUGAAAUUACUGUACCAAGAACUAAGCUAGAAAACAAAGCCAAGAAGAAAACAACUUUUUUUUGUGGAAACGAGAGGAUGAUCAGAUUUGGUUCAGUAUUGAGGCCAUCAUAUCAGCCAAUCAAACCAAUAGGAAAAUUAACCUCAUCUCUCGUCUUUUCCUUUUUCGUAGUAGUCCGAGUUCAAGCUACUGUAGCAAUAUUUACUGUCCAUCUUUUUCAGCUCUGCUCCAGAAAAGAGAAAGGAUAAACCAAAAAAAAAUUUAACACAACAGUGAGGGCGGCUGCAUCAGAUUUCCAAGGUGAGCAAGAAUGUGACAUCACAGAAACGCCUCAGAUGGAAAUUACCAAUAAUCUAGGGUCUCGUCAUCUGCAUCCACUAUGCCCAUUUCAAUUAGAAAACAAAGUUUCUAUUUGAAUUGAUCUAACAUUGCUUGUUUGUUCUUAAACUGUACUAAAAUGAUCUUUGGUAGAAUUCUACAACAAACACCACAAUAUCUUUGAAAGAGGGAAAAAAGGGCAGCCCGGUGCAUGUAGCUCCUGCUUGCGCAGGGUCCGGGGAAUGGUCCGACCACUUUGGGUCUAUAGUACGUAGCAUUUCCCUACAUUUCUGUAAGAGGUUGUUUCCGGGACUUGAACCCAUGACCUCAUGGUCGAUAAUCAGAUUAUGUUCAGUAUUUAGGCAAUCAAGUUGAUCAAUCAAACCAACAGGAAAAUUAAUCAUCCGUCAUCUUACCUUUGUCUAUUUAACUAGCAAAUAGAUCUAUUGAAUAAAUGAAUGUACCAUAUAAAUAGCAAAUCUAAUGAACAUGAUGAGGUGACCAAAAACAGGUCGGCUUUUUUUGAUGAUCAUAUUUGGUUCAGUAUUUGGGCCAUCAUAUCGGCCAAUCAAAACAAUAGGAAAUUUAAUCUCAUUCAUCAUCUCAUCUCUCGCCAAUUAAAACCCAAAACAAAGGAUUUUUUUAACAAAAUUAGUAAGAACACGAAAGACAUGACUGAGGUGGAUGCAUCAGAUCUCCAAGGUGAAAAAGAGUGACAUCACAUAAAUGCCUCAGAUGCAAAUUAACCAUAAACUUGAGUCUUCUCAUCUGCAUCGACAACGCUAAUUUCAACAACAAAAAAGAAACUUACAAACACAUUAAAAGGAGAGACACUAGAUUAACCGGCGAAGUAUUCUUUCUACAAGAAAGAGAGAGAAACAGUAUGGGAUAUUAUCAGAUGGAACCAAUACAUGAUUCAUUGGAAAUCAUAUCAUCCAUCAACAAUGCAAAUAUCCUCAUCUCACCCAAACGAAUCAAAAAUAGUAAGAAAAAACAAACAACGUGGAUAUUAUCAAGGAUGCAACAGAUCUCCAAGGUGAAAAUGGUCUGGCUUCACAGAGAAGCCUCAGACGCAAAUUACCCAUAAAAAUUAUGUCUCCUCAUCUACAUCAACAAUGCUCCUUGAAGAAACAACAGCAAGAACAAGAAUGAAAUAUAAAUUUCAGAUGCCAAGAUCCCAAAUAAAUAUCAAACCCUAACAAAUACCAUAUACAAUAGUAGUACAGGGAUCCUAAGUCGCACGCGCACCCCGCACGCGGAUGGAUGACCAUCUCCCGUAUAUAUAGACAAGAGAAGAGAAGAGAAGAGAUGACGACAUGGUGGGGUGCAGCAGCCGCAUGCGUGCUCAAAUGGCCAAAGACAAGCCCAUGCCCCGGACCCUUGCUCCCUCACUUGGCUGGUCGAUGGCUGUCUCAUGGGCAUCCCUAGGCAACGUUGAUAACCGAACCGGUCUCUUGCAAUUUAUCUCCUCCUUGUAAUCAGCCUCCACGAGCUCACCCAACCCAGCUUUGCCUCGAGACUCGAGAGAGAUAAUGGCUAGUGUUCGUUGUAAGCUGCAUGCAGGAGGCGAACCACCAGGCGGGGCAUUAGUUACAGAAGUUGAACUGAUCGAUCGAGCACCAGAUUAAUUGUACUAUGUUAUGUCACCCAAAGAGAUCCAACCACCGAAGAGAGGGAGGACGUAGUACGAGAUGAGAUAGACGCCACUAAGCAUGGUACGUCACAGCAAUAUAAUAUAAUGGCAUCGAUCGACGAGUGUGCUCGUGUGUGUUGGUUUACUGCUGACUGGUUGGACAUUUGUGCUGGCCUUUUUGUUUGAUUUUGCUACUGAACAGAUGGCUGUGGUUUGCUUCAUGGAUCGGCCAGGCAGCCACCUGUUUCUUCUUCAGUUGCAUAAUACAUCAUUUGGUUACUGCUGGCAACAGCCACCAUUUCUCUUCUUUCUUUUGCAUGUAUAUAAUUUGGUUACUGCUGGCAACAAUUCUGUCGUCAAACUGAAGAACUUUAUAUAUGCAUGAUGAUGAUGCCUGGGCAAUCUACAUUCACAAUAUGCAUAGCGAGCCACGACCAAUUUCUUCUCGACUACUCCCUCCGUUCCUAAAUAUAACUCUUUGUAGAGAUUUCACUAUGGAGUGUAGAUUCAUUCAUUUUACUCCGUAUGUGGUCCAUGGUGAAAUCCCUCCAAAAACUUAUAUUUAGAAACGGAGCUUUAGAUGCACUCCAUAAAAAGAAAGGUUGAUGAUAAACAAGAACAAAAUCUCUUAUGUCGCAAAAUAAAUCAUGCAUGCAUGCCUCCUCCAAACAGACAAUUCAAGCCUUAUUUAGCACACCACUCUCAACCAUCGCAGCCAACAAAGACAACUCCGGUUCAAUUUCGCAGCCAACAAAGCACAAACAGCUUGCUCAUCUCGCCGUUUUAUCUAGCGCCAACAACACAAAGAAAGAUAUUUUGGUGCCAUUUACACCAGUCAACAGCCAGCCAAGAAUAGAUGGCUAACGACUCACCCGACAAAAAGGAGACCUAUAUAGUUCCAACCAUUUAGUUACACCACCUCUACAACAAUCACAUUCAUUACAACUUGGCCACGAAAGCAAGAAACAAUCAACUAGCGACGAAAAAAUUCUUCAUCUACAGCUUGCUUGCCAUUUCAUUUCAACACUAGCUAGUUCUACAACACUGGCACUGAGAACCAGAUCUUAAGCUUGUACAAAUCUUCAGCUUUCCAUUUACCAAAUUCGCACAGCAACAAUACCGGUCUCCAACAGUUCACCAACACCACCAGCCAAGAAAUAAAGCACAAACAACCACGCCAAGUAGACAACAAUAUCACUAGCCAGGCAUAUCAACAAACGGAGCACAAGUUGCCAUUUCCUCUAGUGCUUCCAAGUCUCCACUUAUGGGGGCCAUGGCACCAUCUUCGUCAAUCUCCAUGGCACCUACACCAAACAAUCGGCCAAGCUCUUAGCAGAGGAAGUCACCAAAUUAAGUAAAAACCUCAAUCUGGGUUAGGGUAGAUAAAUAGAUAGAAGUAAUAAAGGAAAAUACAUACGCAGCAGUUAAAAAGACACCAAGGUGUGGGUGUGGUAUCCUUGAUUAACAACAAAAGAAAAAGCAUGAUAAUCUUCCUGCAAACAAGAAUGAGAUUCUAACAGCUCUUGACAUCAAAUGAGCUUUUAUAUUAGUGCCAUUUCUGAGCUUUCUAUAUGAAAGCCUUUUCUAGCUAUCAAGCUAUCAGUAAAAUAACAGUAGCUUCAGAACUAUGCAAAAACACUAACUGACCACGCAUGCAUCCGAAACUGACAAGUGAGCUAUGCAAACAGAACCAGAUUGAAAAAAAACUAAAAACAAAUUGAUCAUGUUCCGUCUGCAAAGACCGCUGCCAAAACUGAAUCUGUUCGUCUUCCCGCUCUAGAGCUUCUCUAAACAAGUAGUCUGCAGGUACAAAUGAAGGGAAGAGAGAAGGAAGAAAGGCUAGUCCUCUCUCAAUUGGUUCAUGAUGCAUACGACAAAACCAAGAUAUGUGCCGUGAGAUCAAGAACCCUCCACAAACGUCAUAAUGAACAUGCCCCAACAACCCUUCCUGGGACGAAUGAGAACUAUGCUCCUAAAGUAACAUGCAAGUGAUUUACUUGAUAAGUACACGUCAGAUUACCUAGCUAGAACGGAUCCAGAGGAACACCGAUUCAUUUAACUAGCUACCAACAAGCAUUACCGAGCCCAAUUGGGGCCAUCAAGAGACCAAACAGAAAAGCUAAGUAGUCAUUGCACACAGAGGCCAUGACCCAGAGCUAUACCAUGGCUCGAUGACCAUGUCCACAAAGCAAGGGCAAGAGCAGAGAAUGCCUUUAAAAUGUUUGUAGUCGAGGCAGAACCACGCCAUCAGGAUAAUUACCCUCUUGCUUAAGUAGUGUGUUUGUUCUUUCUACCACGUGGCUAUCCGUAACAGAGCCCUCUUGAAAACUUGAGGAGAAAAAAAUUGUGAUUUUAGUAAGGGGAGGUACAAAACUAAAAUAUAGAGAUGUGUGAAGAAAAAAAUCGACUACAAUAUUAUAGUCAAGUAAACAUGCCAAGGUAGGUAAGAUAGGACAAAGAACUUGUAGCCUUCUAGUAAUAUAGCUUCCACGUUCCAAAUGAGAAGAUGAUCGAUAUAAUGAACACCAUUUAGGUGCAAAUAGGCAAAGAAUAUCUGCUAUGAGAUGCAGUUUGAUGCCAGUAGUAGAUAAAGGAUGCCAAAAGGCACUAAUCAUGAUAAAGAUCAUGUUAGAGUAACAUUUGAUCUCAAGUAGUUGUAUUAUUUAACAGGAUGCAAAACACAAAUUGCAACCCUACAAUACAUAGCAGCAAUGCACAAUGUGCAAGAAUUUUGCCUUGUAGCAACAACAGCAUAAAGGUAACUAUACAUACAUGACUCUGAUCAAUGUUCGCCCUUGUGCUUUUCUAUAUAUGGCCGACAAGCUAGUAGAGUGGGAGUUAUUUGGUUGUAUGAUCCAGAAGAAACAAAGGCGUGAUGAUCAUCUUCCUCUGCUUCAGUUAGCCAACCGAGGGAAUCAGGGAGGAUAAAUGUACGGCUUAAAACUAGACUCUGGCUGGGCAAACCCAGUUACAGAUGUGUGCAAGCUGCUGGAGCCGGAGCGCAGCUAUUAAAUUGGACAUGCAUGCAUUUAGUAAGUGAGUCCCCUCUGUUAGAAGAACUGCAACCUUGUAGCGAAAUUAUGAGCUGGUAUAUAUUAACCUGGUUGUUCAACUUGUAAACUGAAGAGGAACACAUACGAGCUUGACCAUGAUAGAGAUAGUCGAAAAAAAUUACAACAGCAAAGCCAAAACUACUAUAACAGAAGAUGCAACAGCAAAGAAGAAGCAUGAAGUGCAACAGAGCAUUUCGCUGGGAAGUUGUGAUCUAACGAGCAGUGCUCCAAACUCUUCCGAAAAUCAGGUUCUACUGCUAGCAGGUUAAUGAAUGUGCUAUAAUUUCAUCAUCAUCCACAACAUAUCUUAGAAACGGGAAACCAGUGUAAACUAGCUAGAAUUUUUGUAUUGAGAAGAUCACGAGGUAAUCAAAAUCAAAGACCUAUGUAACUGAACAGUUCAAUACACAUGAUGCAAUGGAUACAUGAAGAAUUAUGAACUUCAACAGACCUUCAUUGGCAAAUUGACAAAUCAAGUCCAAACUGAUGCAAUCAUUUGAUUUAAUAGGCAGUGCUCCACGCUCUUCCACAAAUCAAGUCCAACUUGAUAGUAAACAAAGAGGACUAAAUAUUAAGAAUCAAGAAAACCACCAGAUGUUCUUUAAGAAACUAAGAAGAUUUCGCUAACAGAAAGGCAGAACAGAGACACGAGGAAUAUCAGCAGAAGGAUUAAAUGGGAUAAUGGGCGGGGAGCGUUUUGAUCAAGUGAACUCGGAAUAUAGUUGGUGAAACAAUAGAAUGGUUGUCAAGGAAAGAAGAUGCCAGUUGUGACAAACAAGAAAGAUGUAUAUACAAAGAAAACACUCCAUUGCAAAUUAGCGAUUACAACCAAGAAAAGUUAUGAAACCAGAAAAGCAGAUUGAACAAGAACGAAUGGUUUAUAGGUGCUCAGAAUCAACAGGUGUAUAGGAGUCGUUCAUGAGGAUAUCCCAUCAGUAUGAGGUAUGUUUUGUAACCAUUGCACAAUUGCAACCACCAGCAACAAGAAUAAAUCAUUUACCAAAUCACACGAGCUUAAAAAUAUUGAACUAGGAACACGAGUUUCAAGUCUUGGGGCCGGAUAACACAACUCAAGUCAAUUAAAUAUGAGCUCCAAUGAUGACAUAUAAGAAAUUUCAAUGGAUCCAGGUAAGCAUUUGGUUCAAACACAAAACAAACUUUAUAGGAAAUAAACACAAAAAACAAUCAUCCAAUGAAGCUAGAAAAAGAAUGGUUUGUUGGUGCUCAGAUUCUAUGGGUGUAUAGGAGUCAUUCACAGGGUUCUCCUGUCAGUAUGAGGAAUGUUUUAUAAGCACUGCAUCACAAAUGGUUCAACUCGCUAAAUCAAAAAUACCAGAAGAAUACUAGAUAGGAAAAACAUUAAAAAAAUGUAAAAGAGCAGAGAUUAAACUGCAAUCUCGAAGCAGACAUCCAUCUAGACAUAUUUUUGCUCCAAGCACCAGCUGAGUUCUGAAAGUGAUGCACACUGUUAAUAUGUUAUUAUCAGUAUUGUUUCAUCCUCACUGCGCUCAAACGCCACAAAUGAAGAAACAAGAACACAACAUAAGGGAAUAUUAUCGAGGAUGCAUCAGAUAUCCAACCUUAAAAGGGUGUGACAUCACAGAGACACCUCAGACGCAAAUUACACAUAAAACUUGUGUCUUCUCACCUGCAUCAAUAUUGCUCUUCCAAGAAACAGCAAGAAGAACAAGGAAAAACUAAAUUCAAGAGAAACAAAGAAUGACGGAUAGGAAAAGAAUGACAGGACUUGCAGCACAACCCAUGGCUAUCCACUCCUGCAUCCACAUCCACAAACCCAACAGAUAAUUCAUUUUACUUGAGACUAAGCUCGGUUCUAAUUUCAAAGCUAAUAGCUUUGUGGUUUAAUUUUAAACUGAACUGAAUUAAUUUCUCAGGAACUAACUAGGGACUAUGAUCAGGUUCGGUUUAGAAUUCAGGCUAUCGACCAUGCAAAUAAAACCAAUAGGGAAAUUAAUUAUUCAAAAUAACCAUCUCUUGAACACAUGAAAUUACUCUACCAAGAACUAAGCUAGAAAACAAAGCCAAGAAGAAAACAACUUUUUUUUGUGGAAACGAGAGGAUGAUCAGAUUCGGUUCAGUAUUAAGGCCAUCAUAUCAGCCAAUCAGGAAAAUUAACCUCAUCUCUCGUCUUUUCCUUUUUCGUAGUAGUCCGAGUUCAAGCUACUGUAGCAAUAUUUACUGUCCAUCUUUUUCAGUUCUGCUCCAGAAAGGAGAAAGGAUAAACCAAAAAAAAAAUUAACACAACAGUGAGGGCGGCUGCAUCAGAUCUCCAAGGUGAGAAAGAAUGUGACAUCACAGAAAUGCCUCAGAUGGAAAUUACCAAUAAUCUAGGGUCUCGUCAUCUGCAUCCACUAUGCCCAUUUCAAUUAGAAAACAAAGUUUCUAUUUGAAUUGAUCUAACAUUGCUUGUUUGUUGUUAAACUGUACUAAAAUGAUCUUUGGUAGAAUUCUGCAACAAACACCACAAUAUCUUUGAAACAGGGAAAAAAGGGCAGCCCGGUGCAUGUAGCUCCUGCUUGCGCAGGGUCCGGGGAAUGGUCCGACCACUUUGGGUCUAUAGUACGUAGCAUUUCCCUACAUUUCUGUAAGAGGUUGUUUCCGGGACUUGAACCCAUGACCUCAUGGUCGAUAAUCAGAUUAUGUUCAGUAUUUAGGCAAUCAAGUUGAUCAAUCAAACCAAUAGGAAAAUUAAUCAUCCGUCAUCUUAUCUCUGUCUAUUUAACUAGCAAAUAGAUCUAUUGAAUAAAUGUAUGUACCAUACAAAUAGCAAAUCUAAUGAACAUGAUGAGGUGACCAAAAACAGGUCGGCUUUUUUUGAUGAUCAUAUUUGGUUCAGUAUUUGGGCCAUCAUAUCGGCCAAUCGAAACAAUAGGAAAUUUAAUCUCAUUCAUCAUCUCAUCUCUCGCCAAUUAAAACCCAAAACAAAGGAUUUUUUUAACAAAAUUAGUAAGAACACGAAAUACAUGACUCAGGUGGAUGCAUCAGAUCUCCAAGGUGAAAAAGAGUGACAUCACAUAAAUGCCUCAGAUGCAAAUUAACCAUAACCUUGAGUCUCCUCAUCUGCAUCGACAACGCUCCUUUCAACAACAAAAAAGAAACUUACAAACACAUUAAAAGGAGAGACACUAGAUAAACCGGCGAAGUAUUCUUUCUACAAGAAAGAGAGAGAAACAGUAUGGGAUAUUAUCAGAUGGAACCAAUACAUGAUUCAUUGGAAAUCAUAUCAUCCAUCAACAAUGCAAAUAUCCUCAUCUCACCCAAACGAAUCAAAAAUAGCAAGAAAAAACAAACAACGUGGAUAUUAUCAAGGAUGCAACAGAUCUCCAAGGUGAAAAUGGUCUGGCAUCACAGAGAAGCCUCAGAUGCAAAUUACCCAUAAAAAUUAUGUCUCCUCAUCUACAUCAACAAUGCUCCUUGAAGAAACAACAGCAAGAACAAGAAUGAAAUAUUAAUUUCAGAUGCCAAGAUCCCAAAUAAAUAUCAAACCCUAACAAAUACCAUAUACAGUAGUAGUACAGGGAUCCUAAGUCGCACGCGCACCCUGCACGCGGAUGGAUGACCAUCUCCCGUAUAUAUAGACAAGAGAAGAGAAGAGAAGAGAUGACGGCAUGGUGGGGUGCAGCAGCCGCGUGCGUGCUCAAAUGGCCAAAGACAAGCCCAUGCCCCCGGACCCUUGCUCCCUCACUUGGCUGGUCGAUGGCUGUCUCAUGGGCAUCCCUUGGCAACGUUGAUAACUGAACCGGUCUCUUGCAAUUUAUCUCCUCCUUGUAAUCAGCCUCCGCGAGCUCACCCAACCCAGCUUUGCCUCAAGACUCGAGAGAGAUAAUGGCUAGUAGUGUUCACUGUAAGCUGCAUGCAGGAGGCGAACCACCAGGCGGGGCAUUAGUUACAGAAGUUGAAUUGAUCGAUCGAGCACCAGAUUAAUUGUACUAUGUUAUGUCACCAAAGGAUCCAACCACUAAAGAGAGGAGGACGUAGUACGAGAUGAGAUGGACGCCGCUAAGCAUGGUACGUCACAGCAAUAUAAUAUAAUGGCAUCGAUCGACGAGUGUGCUCGUGUGUGUUGGUUUGCUGCUGACUGGUUGGACAUUUGUGCUGGCCUUUUUGUUUGAUUUUGCUACUGAACAGAUGGCUGUGGUUUGCUUCAUGGAUCGGCCAGGCAGCCACCUGUUUCUUCUUUCAGUUGCAUAAUAUAUCAUUUGGUUACUGCUCGCAACAGCCUCUUCUUUCUUUUGCAUAUAUUGUAUAUAAUUUGGUUACUGCUGGCAACAAUUCUGUCGUCAAACUGAAGAACUUUAUAUAUGCAUGAUGAUGAUGCCUGGGCAAUCUACAUUCACAAUAUGCAUAGCGAGCCACGACCAAUUUCUUCUCGACUACUCCCUCCGUUCCUAAAUACAAGUCUUUGUAGAGAUUUCACUAUGGACUGUAGAUUCAUUCAUUUUAUUCCGUACGUGGUCCCGAUAGUGAAAUCCCUCCAAAAACUUAUAUUUAGGAACGGAGGCAGUACUAGUUUACAUGCACUCCAUAAAAAGAAAGGUUGAUGAUAAACAAGAACAUCUCUUAUGUUGCAAAAUAAAUCACGCAUGCAUGCCUCCUCCAAACACACAAUUCAAGCCUUAUUUAGCACACCACUCUCAACCAUCGCAGCCAACAAACACUAGUCCGGUUCAAUUUCACAGCCAACAAAGCACAAACAGCUUGCUCUUCUCGCCGUUUUAUCUAGCGCCAACAACACAAAGAAAGAUAUUUUGGUGCCAUUUACACCAGUCAACAGCUAGCCAAGAAUAGAUGGCUAACGACUCACCCGACAAAAAGGAAACAUAUAUAGUUCCAACCAUUUAGUUACACCACCUCUACAACAAUCACAUUCAUUACAACAUGGCCACGAAAGCAAGAAUAAAUCAACUAGCGAGAAAAAAAUUCUUCAUCUACAGCUUGCUUGCCAUUUCAUUUCAGCACUAGCUAGUUCUACAACACU
rnacentral:lncRNA from 1 species